rnacentral:lncRNA from 10 species
UAUGAAUCUUAUUUUAUGGCUUCUAUGUUUGAAGAAAGAAAGAUAAAGAUGUGUUUACAACGCAGUGAGCAAAGGAUAGUUUCAUUAACAAAUGGAAUAUGUAAUUAACUAGGAUAAAGAGUAAACCCUUUUCACUUAAAUAUCAGGUUAAUUAAGAAUUAAAAGACUUUGGAAGUAUAUGAAAAAAUAUACACAAAUAUACUGAUUUGGUCUCAGAGUUCAGAAUUCCUUUCCGAAAAUAAAUCUGUUAGGGACAAACUGCCUCAAGAAGCUUCUUGGUGCUGCCUGCCCCUCCCCACUCUGCAACUCCUCUCCAUGCUGCCCCAAGCCUUUUUACAUUUCUAAGCCCUUAUCUAGGCGCCACAGUGAAGCCAGCAGACUUUACCUAUCAGGCCUCGCUGCUAUAAAGCAAACCCCAAUUACAAACCAUCCGGACCGCACAGAGGGAGGUCGUGGGAAGCAUAAACAAACUUUACCUACAAUCUCCGGUACCAUAAACGUCACAAGGUGAUAAUGUGGCAGAAUAAACCAGCAAACAACCCCGGGAUGCGGCCAUACCAAAGAACUCCCUCAAACUCCCUCCCCAAUAUAAACCCCUCAUUCUGUAAGCUGGCUGCUGCUGCCUCCUUUGUCUGUGAUAAAGCAGCCGGCGGGUUUAAUAAAAGCUUGCCUGAACUUGGGUCUUGCUCUCUUGUCCUUUCUCCCGGCUGAUCUUACAAAAUCAAAAGUCAAAUAUUUACUUAAAUAUGUUAAACUCAAUUAAAUUUCAUGUCAUGACACUUAUCAAUCUUUUAUCUUAGGAAUUCUUCUUUUGGUAUUAGGAAUAAGAAAAGGAUUGACAUGCUUAAUAUCCUUAAUAUUUUAAGCACUCUUUUCCAUUUUUUUUCUUUUUUCUUUUUCUGGUUCAGGUUUGAGCAUUGAUAAACACUCUUUAAAGAGAAACAUUUUAAUGUUUUGGAAGUGCUUUCCAUAGUAAUAAGCCUGUCCUCCCUUGACUCCUCAGCCGAGCUGACUAGCCUAGCUAGGAAAGAGCCAGUCAGGCUGACAGUUAAUAAGAACUCAAGCUCAUGCCUGAAAUUCACAGUGCUUUAGGAGGCUGAGGUGGGAGGAUCACUUGAGGCCCUUAGGUCAAGACCAACCUGGGCAACAUAGCCAGACCCCAUUCUCUAACAACAACAACAAUAACAAAAAUUAGCAGGGGGUGGUAGGAGGCUGAGGCAGGAGGAUCACUUGAACCCAGGAGUUCAAGGUUGCAGUGAGCUAUGAUCACACCACCGCAAUACAGCCUGUGCAACAGCCUGUACAACCCUGUCUCCAAAAAAAGAACCCAAGUUUUCAAUAUGCAUAGCCACAUAUAAACUAGAACUUAAGCUGUAAGGAGUCCUGUGGAAGCAGAAACUCUAAGUAGAAGCCCUAGGGUAGAGAAGGGCAUAGAAAGUCAAACAAGAGAGCAAAACAACCUGAGGCAAGAGGAUGACAAAGCAAAAAUGCAGCGCAAACAUGAACAUGUUGGUGGGCACACACACAUAGUUUCUCCAGAUGCCUUGAUUUCCUAAUAGCUUUCUAGUUCCCCUUACUGAGAGGCAUAGCUACAUACCAGUUCCUUUGGUGGAUUUCCAGUAAAAUCCCUAUCUCCCUUACUGCUCACAAUCCCUUGCAGCCUUGCUAAUUACAGCCCCCUCAUUUGAUCUGGCAUUUGUGUUCUUCACAACAAAAACUUUACUAAAACCAGAGGCAAAAUAUAAAAAUGUAUCUGUCAUAUAAUGAAGAAUAAAUCUAGUCUUUGUCUCCUGUUCCUGGUACAGAGCUUAGAGAGGCUUGGAAUUUCCUGAUUAAUGGAAGUGUCUUUGUUAUUCAUAAGAAGCCCCUUUGGACUAUAUCUGAGUUUAUACUUGGGGGUGACUCAAGGUAGGCCCUCACAUAGUUUGAAAGGACGAGCUGGCCAUGCCAGACAGACCAAGCAUAUGGUUAGAGGGUUGGAACUUUUAGCCACACCCCCAGAUGUUCAGAGAUUAAAGAGGAGCUGGAGAAGGAAGUUAAUCAUGUGGCCAAUAAAACUCUGCAAACUCAAAGUUCAAGGAGCUUCCUGGUGGAUGAACACUUUGUGUGCCUGGUAGUUUGUGUUAACUCUGGGUAGUUAGUGUCAGAAUUGAAAUGAAUUGCAGGAUACCCAGUUGGUGUCAGACAAUUGGUGUCAGAACAGUCUCUAUCACUCAUUAUUCACCUACCAACUAACGAAAUUAUUAACUUUUUUCCACCAAAGUAGUACAUUUUCAUUAAGGAAAAAAAAAAGGAUAACCAACAUGAAUGUUUUGGUGGCUAUACUUCAACAUUUUUAACUCUACUAGGAAAAUGCAUCAAAGAGGUUAUAAAACUUACCUCAAUUUUCGAUAUGGAGGAAAAUACUAUUAUCUAUAUCAAAUUAUGCCCAGAUACCACAGCCAAUCUGUGUUUUUAAAUCUCGUCAAAUGAAAAGGCCUAUUAUUUUAAACAAAUUUCCUAUAUUCUAAUUACACUGAUGUGAAACCACACAAUAAAAAUCUAAUAUUCCCUUGUACUUCUUUCUUAAAGAAUGGUGCCAGGCCGGGCACGGUGGCUCACCCCUGUAAUCCCAGCACUUUGGGAGGCCGAGGCAGGUGGAUCACAAGGUCAGGAGAUCGAGACCAUCCUGGCUAACACGGUGAAACCCCAUCUCUACUAAAAAUACAAAAAAAUUAGCUGAGCAUUGUGGCACGUGCCUGUAAUACCAGGUACUCGGGAGGCUGAGGCAGGAGAAUGGCAUGAACCCAGGAGGCGGAGCCUGC